rnacentral:rRNA from 1 species
CGAAAUGCGAAAAGUAAUGUGAAUUGCAGAAUUCCGUGAAUCAUUAAAUCUUUGAACGCAAAUUGCA